GUGAAUGUCACCAUGCCUACCUGGUUUGUUUUGUUUUGUUUUUUUAAAGAACAGAAACAACUAUUUUAAAGGAAAAAAAAAAACUCUUUUAAUAGAUUUCAUAAACGGACUGCAUUUUACAAGAUUCGAUUUUCUUAAAAACAUACCAAAAAGAAAAAGAAAAAAAAAGAAGAAGAAAAGAAAAGCAAAAACUUUGAUAUCUCCCGACUUCCUUUCAACUGACCUCCCCUUCCAAGCAGACAAACCUGUCCUCUUGGUCCCGGUUUGGAGCAGCUGACCCAACUCAGAAUCUCUUUCCUACAGGAUGAAGUGCCUUUUUGAAUGUUAUUUUAAGCUGAAAGUUAAUUUUUUUGUAUACAGCCUAUUUCCAAACAUCUUUUAGUCUUUUACGGUCUUAGAUACUUACUCUGAGAAGACGAACAGGACAAUUUUAUAGACCCCGGUAGCCUGUGUGUGGUGGGGUAAGGAUGUGGUCGGGGAGAGCAACGGGUCACAGGAGCCCGCCUCCCAACAUGAGUGACUGUCAACCGUGGCGUGCAUGGGAUCUCGCUCCCCCUGACAUGACUUUUCUCCUGACUGUCCUUGUGUCGUUUCCGACCAGGCUGGAAUGUACCUGCCAAUGGCCCAAUGCUUUAUGAAACAGCCGGUUCCUUUUAUGAUGGUUUCUGAGGUUGUUAAAAAUGUGUCUUGAGGUUGCAUUUUUGCCCUUGGGAAGUGACAUUGUAUCGUCACAUGUGCUUUCCCAUGACUCCACGUGUCUGUCCCUUGUUGUUCUGUUGUCGUUGGUUUGAGGAGAGCAGUUAGAGAAAGCCCUGAAGCCCUUGGAUCUAUUAAGUCCUUCCUUUCAGAAGCUGGGUGCACAUGGAGCUCGCUGUUCGGACUCCGCUGCUACUGCGCUCCUGACACCAAAUGGAACUGACCAGCGGCUGUCACACUGUUCCUUAGCCACUGUGCCUAUGCUUAGAAGAUGCUCACCGCUCAGCUGCAGACUCAGACAGGGUCACAGACAGGUGUCCCACCCCAUCAAGCACGGCACCCUUCUUUGGCCCCCAGCCACCGCCAAGAAUGCCGAAGGGCACAAAAGUUUGGGGACAAAAACAAAACUGAAGGGCCAAAGCACCGCUCAGGUGCGGCAUGGCGUUCACUUUACACUGCAGUCAACAUCAGAGCCUAAGCUGGAACUCGCCUGUCUCACCUGAGAACCUGUGGCCUCAACCAGCCGCCAUGCUGGUGUGGCUCAAGUCACCUCUCAGCCUCUUUGGAAGCACAGCCUCUUCGAGCCAAGGGUUGGAGAAGCCUGCCUUGAUGGGAGACUCAUCUCUCCAAACCAGGGAGAAGGGCUUCUCCCUGGAGCCUGGGGGUCUCUUCCCACCCGUUCCCAGUUUGGUGUUUAAUCUGUGUUACAUCGACCCUCUGAAGAACGAACAGAGCCCUUUUGUGUUGGCACCAAUGCCUUAGUCCUCUGUGGGUUGGGCCUCAGCCAGAAUUCUGCUGGGAGUUGCUGGCGUUGACAAGAUUUAAAGUCAGGGGUCAAACUUUUAAAAAUAUAUAUAUUAUUUUUCUUUCCUUCACAAAAUAACGAAGCCAGCUACUAGGCCUGUCUUCCCACAGUGCUUGGUCCGGGGAACCACUGUGCAGUCAGAACGGAGACACGUCAGUGUCGUUUAGAUCACCUGACUGAGUGUUCCGAACCCAGCGAGCCCCGUGCCAAUUAAAACCGAGACUGCCCCUUUGCUAAGAAAUCAUUUCCACAGGUAACGACAGUUACGCGGCAGAUCCGCACACGCCAUCAACCCUCAUGGAAAACCAGUCAUUAGCUGCCUUAAGUGUCUUGGGUGUUUCAGAGUCUGCCAUGUGUUGACUUCCACACAGAACAAGGCCCGGAUGGAACCUCAGAUCUUUGCCUGUGCCUCUUUGUGUCGGUGUCACGGGGCCUUAUUUGAAAAGGGGGGCAGAAUGGACUGCGAUUCCAGAAUAUUUCAGGGGAAGCGAGCGUAGAAAUAGUGCUCUGCUUCAGACAGGUUCGAGGCCAACCCUUGGCCUUACAGCCCCGGGGCUGCGUGUGCCCAUGCCCUCCGGGCAGAGCUUCCAGGUGGGAGCCCCGUUCUUGCCACCACAAACAUGGAAUGUCUUGGGUGGGUGGCAGAGCUUCUGAGGGCUCUGAAAUCUGCACCUUAUCUGACCAAGCUCCAAUAAUGCCAAUUUUUAUUUCCUUUUUUUUUUUUUGAAAACAAAUCCGCUUUAUGUACAUAAUUGAAAAAAAUCUAUAUUUUUAAUCAGUUACGUGUAAAUGAAGCAAUAGAACUCUAACAAGGCCAAGAAAGGAGACGAAUGUUCGAGGUUUAUUUUCUUAAGGUAAAUACGGGUAUUGCUUUUAAUUGUAAGUUUAUUAAAAUGCGGGCUUGAGAACGUAUCAGCCAUUUCUCUGUGCCAUAUCCUUCCCACGUUACCAAAACACUCCAUCUCUUUAGCCAAAAGAAACCCCUGACCUCUCAAGUCCCGUGGUCCUCUCAGCUCCGGGUUAGGACCCCUCUCUUAGACAAGCGCUUUCGAUGCGAGGGUCUAGGACAGGGUGGCUUGGGUUGGUGGACUCCAGCCUACACCUUUAGCUUGACCUCAAGUGGGGCUUCCUGACCCCUGACCCCUGAGGAUGUUAAUGUUCUUGUCUUCCAUUUGUUCUGGAAUCCUCCAUGUCGGUCUGUGGUCCCCUGCACUAGCUGUUUGUAAACAAUACGUUUGUAUCUUAAUCACACCACCUGUCACCGAUGGCAGUGGGUGAAGAUCCUGCUGACACGGUGCGAUGUUGUGAGGUGACUUUGGGGACAUGAGGACGUCCACAUGACACUAAAUCAUCCCGGUCACAGCAUGUGAAGUUGGGGGUACGGAGAUGAAUCCUAAAAGUGUGUAGAGCCUGGCAGCAUUUUACAACCCUGUAUUUCAAAGACGGCUUUCUAAUAAAAUCCAGAAACACACAGCCCUAUUGGUCAAACACUCGUGACGUUUGUGCCUCUGCUCCUCACGGUGCUGUGCUGGACAGCUGGCAUGCCAGGGUUUGAGAAGAGCGGAUGGCCUACCGUGCUCGCGGUUCCCUGGGCAAACUUGCUGGCUGCCUCUGUUCCUAUUUUACUGUAAAUCUGACCAUGUCUAUCCCUGGAGUCGCCCUGAGGAUAGGUUCCCCCCAGGGGUGGUGAUGUUGGUGUCUGGGGAGUUACAGUUUUCUGCUGGAUGUUUGAAUGUGCCGUCCCAGUGCCACUUGGGAAAUACCACAUGUUGGGAUGUGCACGAUGCUCGGGGCAAGUAUUGUCAAUCAGUGAUUUCCCUCCUGCCAAAAAUAAACUCGUCAAACUGC
rnacentral:lncRNA from 1 species